GGAGCCAUUAUUUCCGUCUUCUCCAAGGACUUUCUCUGCCAUGCCCCUGAAUCAGAUAUCUUCAGCUUUAGCUUCUCUCUUCUCUUCCUACUCCUGGACCAGAGGACUAAAUAGCCCAAGAAAAGAUAAAUCAGCUCAUCAGAAAAGCAAAGCUUAUUCAAGAUUCCUUAAAUGAUCAGUACUAUGGUUGGGGUCCAUAAAUAGAUGCUGCACCUGCAGGCCGCUACCUUGUAAGAUAGGUGUGAUUAUCUACAUUUUACAGUUACCAGGUCAGAUCCAGAUCAGAGAGGAAGAGUCACAAAUGAACAUGUGCCCUACCUGUGCAAGUUGCAGAAAUGAAGCUGGGCGAUUCUCCUUCCAGGUCUCAUCCCAUCACUAAGGAACUGUGUGAUCUUGGUCAAGUCACAACUUCUCUGAACAAUCUUUCUCAUCUAUAAAACAAGAGAGAUGGACUAAAUGACAUUUAAGUAUCUCCCACUUCCAAUACUCUAAGAUGCUAUAAUGGGUAGUGCUUUAGCUUACAAUUUCAUGAGCUAAUUCAGCCAUAAAUUCACUCCCCAUCCUCACUGCCAAGAAGCAGAUUAAUAAAGCAAAUAUAGACAUGUUAUGUGACACAAUUACGUGUACUGUUUUUACAAUGGAGCAUAACUUGUAAUAAAAGAAAUUUAAUGAAGCACAAAAUCACUAAUAUUCGCAUGUAUUUGAUUUUUUUUAUUUUUUUUUUUACUUUAAAAUAAAGUUUAAUGGGUUAUUUGUCAAUGAUGUAGAAACUAUUCCUGCUGUAAAAAGAAAGUAGACUAGAUGAUCUUUGAGGUAGAUUCUAGUUCAGGACAUUCAGCACAUUCAACACAUGGCAUAAUCACAUCCAAACUCAAUUCUGUUUUAUAUAUUUUUUCAAAUAAUUUUUUUUUCCAAAAUAGCAA